rnacentral:lncRNA from 1 species
UCUCUCUCUCUCUCUCUCUGUUUGCUCUCUCAAAAUAGAGGGAAGGGUGGCUUCCUAAACAAUAUCAGAAACAGCUUUCAGAGUUAUGCAGUGUGGCAGUUUCAGGCUUGUGCCAAUGGAGAACUGCAUGCUUCUAGGAUACAGAGACGAGAGAAGCAAAACUUAUGGGGAUUCUUCAUCCAAAGAACUUAAAAUUGGAGCCAAUUCAUAUCAACAGAGAUGGGGAGAGAACACUCCGUGAAUUAACGUUACAGUGCUCGGACCAGGAAGGUCCUGUGACACCUUCUGAAUCACCAAGUAAGACCCAAGUGCUCUCUGUAAAAUAUGUCACAGAUAACUAAAGAUAAAGCUAAUGGCAAAAGGGUAGAAAAAAAUGGCCUAUUUACUAGUGAGUAGUAGUUGGGGGUGUGGGCCAAUUAAAGGAAGUAAGAAAGAAGUACAGUCACUAAUGUGUGUGUAACACAUGAUGAUCUUUGUGUAGAAGAAUCAUCUAACAAUGGAGUCUCAGUUGGCAGAGAUAAGAGGGAAGAAGCUCACGAAGCCAUAUGAAUAGCUGUAGUUAGAGCUCAGUACUAGCAUGAAUUGGACCAAAUCUUAAGAGAACAAUGAAAACAGGCUUUGGAGUCAGGCAAAACUAAAAUAGCCAGAUUUACUUUGUGGCUUACACUUAGAAAAACAAAAACAAUCUCAGAAUUUUUUUUUUUUUUUUUGGGAGGAGGAAGCACAAAAGAACACUUAAUUCCCACAUAUGGAUAAAGAAAGUAAAAAUGUCUUAGAAAUGGGUAGCCUUUAACAAUAACUUUCAGAAUUAGAUCAAACAUAAAGCUCUGGGUUCAAUCUCAAGCCAAGGAAAG